GAUGAACGCUGGCGGCGUGCCUAAUACAUGCAAGUCGAGCGAACGGACGAGAAGCUUGCUUUUCUGAUGUUAGCGGCGGACGGGUGAGUAACACGUGGAUAACCUACCUAUAAGACUGGGAUAACUUCGGGAAACCGGAGCUAAUACCGGAUAAUAUUUUGAACCGCAUGGUUCAUAAGUGAAAGACGGUCUUGCUGUCACUUAUAGAUGGAUCCGCGCUGCAUUAGCUAGUUGGUAAGGUAACGGCUUACCAAGGCAACGAUGCAUAGCCGACCUGAGAGGGUGAUCGGCCACACUGGAACUGAGACACGGUCCAGACUCCUACGGGAGGCAGCAGUAGGGAAUCUUCCGCAAAGGGCGAAAGCCUGACGGAGCAACGCCGCGUGAGUGAUGAAGGUCUUCGGAUCGUAAAACUCUGUUAUUAGGGAAGAACAUAUGUGUAAGUAACUGUGCACAUCUUGACGGUACCUAAUCAGAAAGCCACGGCUAACUACGUG
rnacentral:rRNA from 1 species